rnacentral:misc_RNA from 1 species
GAGGGGGUAACCGAAAGUGGUCCAUGGGUGCUACUAGAAAAUCAAUGUAUGCAUUAAAAGCAGUAUUGAGAAUGUUUUCUUAAGAGGGACCUGCUAUUUGGAAGCCUUGUUCAGCCCUUUGGACUUGUAUAGCUUAGCCAGAUACUGGUGCCUGCUACUAUGGGUCCGAUUCACUGGGGUGGUUUAUUUACUGGUGGUGGAGGUUGUAGGUUCAAUUCCCUGGUCAGCUAGAGAGGGUUGAUACAUCACAUACUAACACACUGGAAGACAGUAAAGACCAGUUAGAUGGAAAUGGCAUCGUUCCUGAAAGUCCAAGGGGGCAGCCUGUUGGAGAGGACAAGACUGAUGAGGAAGUGACUCCACCCCCCAGACAGAGGCUGUUUAAGGUCGUGUUUGUGGGAGACUCGGGGGUUGGCAAGAGCAGCUUCAUACAUCGAUUCUGUAACGAUCAAUUCAACCCAACUUUCAGUGCUACCAUAGGUGUAGAUUUUCAGGUGAAGAGUAUAGUGAUGGAAGGGCAGGUGAUUGUGCUCCAGCUGUGGGACACAGCCGGCCAGGAAAGGUUUCGAAGUAUCACCAAGCAGUACUUUCGAAAAGCAGACGGAGUGAUUCUGAUGUACGACGUUACAACUGAAGCCACCUUUACUAAUGUCAGGAACUGGAUCACUAGUAUCCAGGAGGGGGUGGAAGAAGGAACAGCCUUGGUUCUUGUUGGUAACAAGACAGACUUGAUUGAAGAGCAGGACAGAAGAGCAGUGAAAGUCAAGGACGGCAACAAAUUAGCUGCUGAAUAUGAUGCCUCCUUUUUUGAAGUCAGUGCCAAGUCUGGAACAAAAGUGAAGGAGUGUAUGGAAUCUCUGGCCAGAAUUUUAAAGGAAAAAGAAGAUGAUGAGAUUGAAAAAGCCCUUCAUUUGGAAGAUGGUGUUAAGAAGAAAAAAGGUGGAUGCUGUAGUUGAUGCCUAAAGAAAGAUUAAUGAUAAUAAUAUGCUCAGUUUAUGAAGGAACAAAUCAGCUGCUGUCUUGUGUGGUGCAAUUCCAAAGCUUUGGGUGUUUAUAUUUACCUCACAAACAAGACAGUCCUGUAUUUUGUCUUUUCCUUGAUGCUUCCCCUGUUUUCGUUUGUUGUCCCAAGUUGUUGACAUUCUAGCAAUUGAUUUCUCUGUUUUAUUGGUAUAUUCCAUAAUAACUGAUCUCCAUGGUUAUAGAAAUCCAUUAUUAUAGUGCAAUAAUUUAGUUGUUUUUAUUAACUAUUUCCAUUAUGAUUUACAUCAACUUGUGGUUUUUUUAUUCUAAUAUUUACAGAACUAUUUUUAAAAAGGUCUGCAUUCUCUUGAUUUUUAUAAAUCGUCUUUUUUUUAAAAGAAAGAAGAUGCCACUUAUAGUUGAUCAUGAUUAUUUCUUCAAAGAAGAGAUACUUGUUCCAGUGUCCUCUGAUUUGUGUGAUUGUAUAGCUGUUGUAUUUACAUGCACUGUUGUCUAAGACUUUUAUGUUGAAGUGGUGGUCAUACUGCUAGCAUGUACAGUGUACAUGUACAUGUAUGUUUCAUAUUGAUACAUAGGCAGUUUUUUUUCUAUUUUCUUACAUUAAAAUACAUGUAUAACAUGCAUUUGAUGUAGCAUUAUUGUAUGUUACAUGUGCUUGAUGGUUUAGAAUUUUUUAAUUUAUUGAAUUUAAUAAAUGAAUAAUGUCUCUUUAGCCCUUUAAAGAUUUAACAAUAUCAACUGAAUUUUUAAGUUUCCAAUUUUUUUUUACAUGAUAUUGUAAUCCACAUGUACUCAAAUUUUCAUUUUAUAGUUUAGCAACACAUUCAACAAAUCCCUGAUUUUUAUUUUUUUUUUUUAUAUUUUUCAGUUUUAAAUCACCAUUAUCUGUUUUAAUAGUAAGGGGUAGGGAGACAUGUGACAUUGGUAUACUUCGUUAGAGAAAACAAAUUAAGGGUGCUAUGAUCAAGAUGGGUUUUACUAUUUUAUUUUGUGUAAAAUACAUGUAUUGUUAUUCCAAACAUUUUGUUGCAAUUGUUUUUCAUGAAAGAAUUGUUAUGUUUUCAUAUUUUAUAUCUGUAUUGUGGUGUUUCACUACAUUUCAUAUUGUUUCAAUGAAGGAACAGAAUUUUUAUCAUUUCAUCAUAGAACAAACAAAUUUAUGUUUACACGUAUGAUGUUUUAUCAUUUGUGCAAUUGUUGCAAGAACAUUCUAUUACCUGUUCUAGCAAUGUUUUCCAAAUUAUUCCAAUUAAACUGUUUCAAGAG